CACGGGGGUUGCGAGCGUUGUCCGGAUUUACUGGGCGUAAAGAGCACGUAGGCGGGAACUUAAGUCAGGUGUGAAAGACCGUGGCUCAACCACGGGGUUGCAUUUGAAACUGGGUUUCUUGAGGGCAGGAGAGGAAAGCAGAAUUCCUGGUGUAGCGGUGAAAUGCGUAGAAAUCAGGAGGAAUACCAGUGGCGAAGGCGGCUUUCUGGACUGACCCUGACGCUGAGGUGCGAAAGCGUGGGUAGCAAACAGG
rnacentral:rRNA from 1 species